UACGUAGGGUGCAAGCGUUGUCCGGAAUUUAUUGGGCGUAAAGAGCUCGUAGGCGGUUUGUCGCGUCUGCUGUGAAAAGACCGGGGCUCAACUCCGGUUCUGCAGUGGGUACGGGCAGACUAGAGUGCAGUAGGGGAGACUGGAAUUCCUGGUGUAGCGGUGAAAAUGCGCAGAUAUCAGGAGGAACACCGAUGGCGAAGGCAGGUCUCUGGGCUGUAACUGACGCUGAGGAGCGAAAGCAUGGGGGAGC
rnacentral:rRNA from 1 species